rnacentral:rRNA from 1 species
CCUACGGGGGGCUGCAGUGGGGGAUAUUGCACAAUGGGGGGAACCCUGAUGCAGCGACGCCGCGUGGGUGAAGGAGCGUUUCGGCGCGUAAAGCCCUAUCGGCAGGGAAGAAGGAGGACGGUACCUGACUGAGAAGCCCCGGCUAACUACGUGCCAGCAGCAGCGGUAAUACGUAGGGGGCAAGCGUUAUCCGGAUUUACUGGGGGGAAAGGGGGCGCAGACGGCAGCGCAAGCAAGGAGUGAAAGCCCGGGGCCCAACCCCGGGACUGCUCUUGGAACUGCGCGGCUGGAGUGCAGGAGGGGCAGGCGGAAUGCCUGGUGUAGCGGUGAAAUGCGUAGAUAUCAGGAGGAACACCGGUGGCGAAGGCGGCCUGCUGGACUGCGACUGACGUUGAGGCCCGAAAGCGUGGGGAGCAAACAGGAUUAGAUACCCUAGUAGUC